AACUUUCAACAAUGGAUCUCUGGUUCCGGCAUCGAUGAAGAACGCAGCGAAAUGCGAUAAGUAAUGUGAAUUGCAGAAUUCCGUGAAUCAUCGAAUCUUUGAACGCACAUUGCGCCCCCUGGUAUUCCGGGGGGCAUGCCUGUCCGAGCGUCAUUGCACCUUCAAGCGCG
rnacentral:rRNA from 1 species